ACAUUUCCAAACAUACAGCUGAGAAAUGCACAGCAACUCCAGACAACCUGCAGCUUCUUUGGAAAUCACAAAUACGAAUGUGAUGGAGAUACUUUUUCAGAUGUUAUAUCAGAAAAAAAAAUAAUAAAACGUGAUUCCAAUGCAUACAUGGAUUAAGGAAUAUGGAAAUGGAAAAUGAAAGAGAAAGGCAAAAAUGAAAGGAAUAGAGAAACAGAGGUAGGGAGAAGAAAGGAGGGAGAGAGAAGAGGAAAAUGUAUAAGGGAAUGGAAAUGGAAAUGGAAAUGGAAAUGGAAAUGGAAAUGGAAAUGGAAAUGGAAAUGGAAAUGGGAAAGAUCAUGAUGAUUCAAGGCAAACAGAAAUGAAUUCUAUGAACCCGGGCACUGAGGAGAUGGCAAUACAGUUUAGAUACUUGACCUCCAUGAGCUGGAGAUGCUGUGAGGGAGUAUGAAGAGGAUGGGGAGUGGCAAUAUCCAAAACAUGAAGAAUAGUAAUUACUACAGUACUUACUACAGGAUGCUCAGAGGAACAGAAAAGAAGAGCUCUCAUUUGUCUUCACCUUCUUCCCUUCAGAUUGCAAUUCUAAUAAGACAGUUUAACUUUGCUUCUGAUGACUGGUAG
rnacentral:lncRNA from 1 species